UGGGGAAUUUUGGACAAUGGGCGAAAGCCUGAUCCAGCAAUGCCGCGUGUGUGAAGAAGGCCUUCGGGUUGUAAAGCACUUUUGUCCGGAAAGAAAUCCUCUGGGUUAAUACCUCGGGGGGAUGACGGUACCGGAAGAAUAAGCACCGGCUAACUACGUGCCAGCAGCCGCGGUAAUACGUAGGGUGCAAGCGUUAAUCGGAAUUACUGGGCGUAAAGCGUGCGCAGGCGGUUUUGUAAGACGGAUGUGAAAUCCCCGGGCUUAACCUGGGAACUGCAUUCGUGACUGCAAGGCUAGAGUAUGGCAGAGGGGGGUAGAAUUCCACGUGUAGCAGUGAAAUGCGUAGAGAUGUGGAGGAAUACCGAUGGCGAAGGCAGCCCCCUGGGCCAAAUACUGACGCUCAUGCACGAAAGCGUGGGGAGCAAAACAGGAUUAGAUACCCUGGUAGUCCACGCCCUAAAACGAUGUCAACUAGUUGUUGGGGAUUCAUUUCCUUAGUAACGUAGCUAACGCGU
rnacentral:rRNA from 1 species